GACGAACGCUGGCGGCGUGCUUAACACAUGCAAGUCGAACGGAAAGGCCCUGCUUUUGUGGGGUGCUCGAGUGGCGAACGGGUGAGUAACACGUGAGUAACCUGCCCUUGACUUUGGGAUAACUUCAGGAAACUGGGGCUAAUACCGGAUAGGAGCUCCUGCUGCAUGGUGGGGGUUGGAAAGUUUCGGCGGUUGGGGAUGGACUCGCGGCUUAUCAGCUUGUUGGUGGGGUAGUGGCUUACCAAGGCUUUGACGGGUAGCCGGCCUGAGAGGGUGACCGGCCACAUGGGGACUGAGAGACGGCCCAGACUCCUACGGGAGGCAGCAGUGGGGAAUAUUGCACAAUGGGCGGAAGCCUGAUGCAGCAACGCCGCGUGCGGGAGGACGGCCUUCGGGUGGUAAACCGCUUUCGCCUGUGACGAAGCGUGAGUGACGGUAAUGGGUAAAGAAGCACCGGCUAACUACGU
rnacentral:rRNA from 1 species